CCUUGAGGGAAAGCUGCUGUCUGAGGGAGCUGCUGUGACUUUCCUAGAGACCUCCUGUUGCCAUGAGGGUGUUGCAUUUAUGUUGUGUGUUGAUUGGCAGGUGUGAUCUCCCUCGCUGAGCUGUGUCCCUGAGAGACUUCAGCUUGUGAUAGAUUCUGAAACAAGGAGGGAUGGGAAUAUUUUCCAGACUCUGAUUAUUUCUUAUUGACAUGGAUGUCAAACCUUUUGGCUUGCCUGGGCCACACUGAGUGAAGAUGAAUUGCCUAGAACUGCAUCCGUGAAGGUUGCUCCAAAAGUAAUGCCUCUUAUUUAUUUCCUUGGAAACUAGGACUGAUCCCAAUUGCAAAAUAACACUACCUUAUGGAAUGAAUUCUCAGCUGCAGUACGCUAUUUUUUUUUCAAAGAGUCACCGUCAUAAGCUUUGCAUUUUUGCCAGCAAUGAACAAGAGCAUACAUCCUGCACUUGUAACAAUAUGAACCAGUGGAGGUGACCUGCUGUCACCGCUGCUGAAACGCACCACCCACUGCGUCGCUGUGAUCACAUCCACUGAUUGGUCUCCAUAAAUGUUGAGCAAGCAUUGAUGAAUGUCAGUGGGUUCUAUUUUUUUCUGUGUGGAGGAAUUCAGUGACACACCUCUGCUUCAUCUGCACUUCCAUGCCAGACACCAUUGUGUCAGACUGCCCCUCUGCUGCCAUCUGUCGCAUCGCAUCAGCAUGGAAUGGAAUACUGGUGGGAAGGUUCAGCCCCUACUUCCGUAUCACCAACAUCCACCUUUGUCAUUGUGGGAUGACAUGAUGUGAGAUCAUGAAGUAGGCGGUAUUACUUUCGGAGUGGCUCGCAUAAAAUAUAUAAUAUAGUUAAUAUAUAUAAGGAACAAAACUUAUUUUAUUUUUAAUGGUUUUUGUUGUUGUUGUUGUUUGGUUGUUUGUUUUAGUAUUGUUAAAACAUAAAAAAAGGAAAGCAAGAGAAACAGAGAAGCAGACUGGAAAUUAUUGUGCUGGUUGUGACAAAGUAGGACACAAAGAUAGCAUUGUGGGCUGUAGAUGACACUGAGUGCCUAAUAAUUUUGUUUGGCAUUGCAUACAUUUAGAUUAUCAUACAACCAUAGAAAUUGUGUCAUAUAUUAUUACUUACAAUGAUUUUAUAUGACCUGCCAGGUAACAAAGAGUGCAUGAAAUUGAUCAGUGUUUACUUCUGAUUCAUGUAGGGAAGGGCCAUGUAACAAUAGUAGAGAAAGGUGUCUGAGCUGCUAGAAUAAAUUACACAACCUGCAACCCCAUCCAUUACCAGAAGCUAAAAUGUCUCUGGGACAUAUCCCAGUGAUACCUAGCUGCCUCUGAGAACACGAGCAGUGGUAAGGCUGUGGUCUGCACUGGUUGUACUGAUGGAUAGAUGUAUGGUUAUAUUUUGUCCUUCCCACUGCUGUUCUCCACAGAGUACGGACUGUGACAUCCCAGAAGAAGAGAAUGAAAGAAGACGUAGAGCCACUGUUUAUUGCUUUUAUCAUGAUAUGGAAAACUUCAGGAUCUGCAGAUCAUUACUCAGCAACAAGAAACCAGUGGAAUAACAUAAUUCCUACUAGUAACCCAAAGAAAUUUCACCAAUUCUCUCUUAAAACAACAGCAACCAAGUAAAAACAACAGCAAGCUCUAUAGUAUUAUGAUGGUUGUUGAUAGUGUGGAAAUACCUUGGUAUCAGAUUUUUGUAAAAUUCAAACUUGAUAUCACUGUUUCAGACGUACAUUAUCAUGAAUGAGAGCAGAACUUAGUACUGUAACUUUGUUCCAUGGAGCUCUAGGAGUUCCAGGUCUCUAAAAGUUUUGCUUUUUUUUUCUCUUUCUGUCUUGCAGACCUCCUUUAACGCAAUGAAAGAUUUACACAGGUGUGAAAUUCUUCUUUUUCCUAAUGUUACAUUAUCAAAAUUAUUUUAUUUAUCUCUUUAGCUCAUCAAAUUUGAAAUUCAUUUCAACUUUAAGAUGAACUACCUCUACUUUCACCCUUUUGUUAUGUUUUCCUUUAAUUUUACAAAAACAUUUUUCUUUAGGGAGAAUUAUAUAUCCCAUCUGAAUUGGAUAUCCAAAUCAUAUCCCCUUCAGAAGGAGGUGUUUUGGAAAUUUCAGAUCUAAAUCUGAAUUCAGUGCAUCAUCAAGGAUUUAUAGAAGUCGACACCAAAAUCUGGGUGUUGCGUGUGUGUGUGCUUGUGCCUGGAAUUGUUAAGUAAUAAAUGACCUCAGGUUCUUCUAUCAUUCCUCUUUCUCUUGCAGAAAAUAUCAGCCAUCAGUCUUGCUUCUAAAAAAGGAGUACUUUUAUUAGGAGGUAUCUGACCUACUCUUCACCCUAUCAAGGCACUCUGCUUGGAGAAGAGUUUAGGGACAAUGUAGAAAAGGUUACCUGUCCUGGUAACUCAAGGACUCAAGAUGUAUUAUGUAAUUGAGACCAAACUCUGAAUAAACCCUUAAACAGUUAUCUGUUUACUCAAAUUGAAUCUGAAUGGUGAGCCUUCGUUCGCUUGUCCCUGUUUAUUUGAAAAAUGGACUACGAUAAAUUACUGACUUAUUACUGAGGAACAGGAAGAGUUCAGUGGGCAGCAAACCAGCAAAACUCCACUGGAAAUACUGUAUGAAUUCCUGACCUCUGAAAUUGUCACUUUGAUAUCAGUUGACAAUGUCAUUUUAAGCAGCAGAUCUGCUUUUGUACUAGCUCUCUUUGCUGCCUUUUGUAAAGCUUUCUAACACCUUUAUAUUUUUGGUAAGAUUUACUAUUUUGUAUCUUCAGCAAUAGGCAGAAUUUGUACUGCCCCAUUUGAAUUUUCACUUGGACUGCCAGUAGAGAUCCUUCGCUGUCUGGGUAGAGCCACUAUAAAAACAAAGGUUUGAUUUUCUGAAGUUGUUAAGGGAACAGUUGAAGUGCUUUUCAAGGUGCGAACUCAAUGGAGUGCUCAAAGGUCCUGUGGCAGGAAGUACUGCCAUUCAGAUUCGAGAAGCAAAUUCAGUAUGUGUAAUCAACUGUGAUUUCUCCCUGAUUAUCUCAACUAAUUAAGAAGUGUUUUUUUGCAGCUAAUCAGUGGUAUCUGCAAAGAAGUCAUUUGCAUAACUUCAAGUCAAAUUAUGUCAUGAGGACAACUGAACUAAUGUAAACUGGCAUUUACUGUAAAAUUAGCAUGUAUUGCAUUCAAACAGGAAAACAAAGAAGCAGUGGAAAUCUGCCUGCUAGAAACUAGGAAGAGCAGCAUUAACUGAUGGAGUGCAAUAGCUGUGCUAUGUGAAGCAUAUCAAUGCAUGAAGCACAAGGAAUGUAAAUAUGCAAAGGCCAAAAUAUUUGCAGAAAGGGACUCAUUUGACAAAAUUGUAAAUACCAUGGAUUCUGCUGGCUGCCUAACUGUCAUUUUGUCACUGUAUUUUGUCACAGUUCGUGGUUUAAUAUUCCAGUGGGAAACAUCCUUGCUUUCUCAUUUAUAGGAGACUGUUUUUACUUAAAGUAAAUCCACUCUAAAAUUACCUUCUAAUUCAGUAUUAUAACAAGUCUAGAAAACAAAACCAUACACACUUUUGUUGCUCUUCUUUACAAAUGUGAAAUAAUGUGCAUUUCUUAUUAACCUAUUUCUUCAAGUGCCUGACAGUGAAGUCCAUUUUUACCUCUAGGGAUGUGGAGGGGUUUCCAGCUACAAUAAGUCGGGCUGCCAGACAUUUUUUUUGCCUGUCUCAAGCAGUAAAUCUGUCUCAAUCAGUAAAUCCUAUCUGGAAGCUGUGAUUGGAGAAUGAACUCCGCUUGGUGAAGCACUGGAACCUGUGAUUUUUCACAUGGGACAAAAGGUUCAAAGACAUCUGUAAACCUGGUUCUUCACUGAAUAGAAAGAAGACCUCCUUGUGAGCUCAGAUGUUCAGCUACUCUCUGCAUGGAUGAGGCUUAAAGUUAGAACUGGAUUUCUUAACUGAACUUUACACGGGGUGGAUGUACUGACAUUUAACAGAACUAAACAUAUAAAGCAAAUAGUCUCUUAUUGGAACAUUAAAUACUAGUACCCAUUAUUAACAGCAUGGAACAUCAGCAGUUCUAAGAAUAAAUUAAAAUGGAGAUUGAUUCUAGCAAUUAGGCAGGAUCAACCAGUGAGUAACUAAUAUGUGAAUUUAAGACAAUGUCCCUCCACAGUGUUCAUUUUUUAUAGGUACAGAUUGGGGUAACACUUUUCUUAACAAGGAUCACUCAGCUCAUGAAUAUUUAGUGCUCAACAACACAUAGGCUGCAUAAUUUACAUUGUUUUCUUAAAUACACAUCUAAAUUAUUAUGAAAAAUUUUUUGAAAAAAAUUGUUUCAAAGAUCUCAGGAUUUGACAGGCAUGGAAACCAGUGAAUUUAGAAAAGAAAAUAACUCUUAGUAUUCAAACUUGUACUAAAUGCUUAAUCUCUAGCUAUAUCCAGAUCCAGAAAUAAAAUUUCUGCUUUACUCACUGUAUUUAUCUGUACCCCAAAAGCACAUUCUUUUAGUGUGAGUUUGCAAAUUAUAUUUCCCUUCUUUUUCCUUCAGCAGCUCUCUUAAAAACACAUAAGCAUAUGUACCUAACAUUGCUAGAUUGAAGUUCUUUGGCAUAAAAUUUGCUUCCUCCCAGCAUUUUUAAGAAAAUACAAAUGUCUAAAAUUGAAAAGGCUAUUCCUAUCUUUCUGUUUGGUCAAUGUGUUCUUUGUUUCAGUUCAGAAAGUCUGAAUUUGUGCAAACUCCUUCAAAUGCUGUUUCUACUUAUGCCUACUAACCUACCAACAAAUUGUUAGUAUAAAUUUCUAUUUUAAAAUAAUGUUUUAAAUUGCAUACUUUUCAAUUGAAAAUUGUAAGAAAAAUGAAGACACCUCCAUUUCACUGUUACACCGCUUAGAUCAUUGUAUGAUCUUUUUCAAGUCAGCUGAGACACUUUAAUCUAAAAUCAGUGUAAUAACUAGACACUGAUGUAAAUGAAUCAAAUCCUCAAGAUCAUAGAAAAGGAGCUCCACAAUUUAAGGCCAGUAGUCAUUAAAUUACUGAAAACUUGACAGUUUUCAGUUUUCUUGUUUUUCACACUUUUCUUUAUAAAGCCUACUCCUGGCCACAGCAAGUAAAUGGCCACUGAUGUGCCACCAAUCUAAUAUAACUGUGGUUAUCUUCUUAUAACACAGUCUGCAACAAAGGCACAAGAAAGCAGCCAACACCUCAAAGCAGAAUCCCAGUGUAUCCUAGAAAGACUUUUUCCACUCUUCACAUUUCUCUUUAUUUUCUGUUUAUUCAUGUGAAAAAUAAACAAUUUAACUGUCUAAUUUUUUUUUCUGUUUCUGUCCUAAUUCUGCUCAGUGCAUAUAGUAUGUGUAGAUUACUCCAUGUUCCUGAGGUACCUCCAGGCCAGUGUUACAUGUGGAUAUGCAGGAAACCUGCAGGUCUUAUUAAGGUACAGCUUCUGGUUUGCCAUUUACAUAUUUUUGCCUUCUUUCUGUUUUCACUCUUUCUGUCCUAUUUCAGCUGCAGUCAAGCACUUUGACUCCGUGUCUGAG
ensembl:lncRNA